rnacentral:misc_RNA from 1 species
UCUCUACAGAUUUCCAGUAUACUUUUAAUAUGUCAAAAAAUGAAGAUAAACAUUUUACAAAAAUUAAUUUUAUGAAUGUUCCUGUCAAGCCGGAUGUAGAUGUUGAGUUAACUAUAAAAUGUUCUGAUAGUGCUCUUAUAAAUAUAACAGUUUCAUCUUUUUCCACGACUGAACGUUUACUUCGUGAAGGUGAAAAAUGCAACAAAUUUAAAGUGCAGUUUUCUCAUGAUGACUAUAUAUUUGGUACAGACAAUACAACUUUUUAUGUUCGUGUAUUUGGAUUUAGUACACCAUUUCUGUUGCAGAUAUCAUUUUCAGAAUAUAGAGCAUUAGAUCUGUUGCAAUUCAUCAUCAUAUUUUCAAGUUGCUUCUUGUCUCUCAUAAUUAUUGCUGCAGUUUUAUGGAAAAUUAAACAAAAAUAUGAUCUUUAUAGAAGAAGACAGCAAUUUGUGGAAAUGGAACAAAUGGCCAGUCAUCCUUUUGCAGAUGCACCUUUGGGGAUAGAAAAGCAUGUUCAAUGUGCAUCUGAUAACAAUGUACUAGACUGAAGAAAGAAAUUAAAAUAGACAAAAGUAUACCUGAAGAAACAUUUGCCUGUACCAAUUUUAAAGAAACUAAAGAUGAUGAUAGAGGGAAUGAUAGCAAAGAUAUCAUGAAUGGAAAGAAUGCUACAACUGGAUCCAAAAUCGACCCAUUACCCCAUAUAGCGUCCUUGCUCUUAUCAGGAUUACUGUUUCCAUUACUGUUAUAAAUUUAACAAAUAUAAUUUAAUUAAAUAUGUAAAGCAAAAUUCAGUAAAAAUUGUUAAUUUUAAUAUUUUAAAUAUAUUAAUAAAGUUAUAUUCUCAAGUAAUUGACUGAUUGAUUUGGCAAUGCAAAGUAAUGAAGCGGAGCGUUAGCGAAAUCUCUUUAUGCGGCUUAUAGGAUCAAUUUCAUUCUUAAUACUUGGUGAAUCGAUUUUGAUUAAACCGCCGUUUUCCAUUAAUUGCGGUGAGGAAUCC